rnacentral:rRNA from 1 species
UAGGGAAUCUUCGGCAAUGGGCGAAAGCCUGACCGAGCAACGCCGCGUGAGCGAGGAAGGCCUUCGGGUCGUAAAGCUCUGUUGUCAGGGAAGAACAAGUACGAGAGUAACUGCUCGUACCUUGACGGUACCUGACCAGAAAGCCACGGCUAACUACGUGCCAGCAGCCGCGGUAAUACGUAGGUGGCAAGCGUUAUCCGGAAUUAUUGGGCGUAAAGCGCGCGCAGGCGGUCUCUUAAGUCUGAUGUGAAAGCCCACGGCUCAACCGUGGAGGGUCAUUGGAAACUGGGAGACUUGAGUGCAGGAGAGAAAAGUGGAAUUCCACGUGUAGCGGUGAAAUGCGUAGAGAUGUGGAGGAACACCAGUGGCGAAGGCGGCUUUUUGGCCUGUAACUGACGCUGAGGCGCGAAAGCGUGGGGAGCAAACA